AUGUCAAAGGGAAAAGCCAUGUACCAGAGGCAGAAGGUAUGUGUGUGCUAUUGUCAGCUUUGUGUGGGUUUAGUUGGUUAUUUGUUGUCAUGGCUUGUGGCAAACAAACAUAAAUUGUCCCUUGUGACAGGUCCAUCCACUUCUAGGCUCGUGAACCCGAAUAUUAGGAAGCGGCUUGGCACGGAUCUACUAUCAAGCUUGGGUGCUGCCACUGGUAAUGUGGCCAGGCGCCUUGAUUUGAAUUUGGCGAGUGACGUUUGUGAUUUCAUAAAUGGGACACCAUUUGUGCGUCCGAUGAACCCUAUGCCCGUCGACACAAAUUUAACCAUUGGUCCUUCCCCAUUCAGAGAACCACCUGCAGUUUUGCGGCCCCCCGAACUCACGCAGAGCAAAUUGCUUGGGUGGUUUGCUAUAGCUCCGCCAAAUAAACGCCCAAGGAUGACUACUGACUACUCGAUUGCAAACCCGGUUGGAGUAGCUGUUUCUGAGAUGGAGGGGCGGAGAAGAGAUGAGUGUUUCUAUGCAAUGGCCAUGGAUUCAUCAGUCAAUGAUUUAUUUAGGGUGUGGUUCAAGCAUGGGCGCCCAUAUCUCAUUGAGAUGACUGGUGAGGAGGUGCUGGAAGAGUUCCACAUCGAUAAAACACUUGCCCAAAAAGGCCUUGACUCCAUUCUACGUUUGGGGAUCUGCCCCCCGGCAUCAGGGAGACUGAUCAUUGGGCCUGAUUAG
rnacentral:rRNA from 1 species